rnacentral:rRNA from 1 species
GACGAACGCUGGCGGCGUGCUUAACACAUGCAAGUCGAACGGAAAGGCCCUGCUUUUGUGGGGUGCUCGAGUGGCGAACGGGUGAGUAACACGUUAGUAACCUGCCCUUGACUUUGGGAUAACUUCAGGAAACUGGGGCUAAUACCGGAUAGGAGCUCCUGCUGCAUGGUGGGGGUUGGAAAGUUUCGGCGGUUGGGGAUGGACUCGCGGCUUAUCAGCUUGUUCGUGGGGUAGUGGCUUACCAAGGCUUUGACGGGUAGCCGGCCUGAGAGGGUGACCGGCCACAUUGGGACUGAGAUACGGCACAGACUCCUACGGGAGGCAGCAGUGGGGAGUAGUGCACAAUGGGAGGAAGCCUGAUGCAGCAACGCCGCGUGCGGGAUAACGGCCUUCGGGUUGUAAACCGCUUUCGCCUGUGACGAAGCGUGAGUGACGGUAAUGGGUAAAGAAGCACCGGCUAACUACGUG